AAUCAACGCUGGCGGCGUGCCUAACACAUGCAAGUCGAACGCGAAAGCCCCGCAAGGGGUGAGUAGAGUGGCAAACGGGUGAGUAACACGUGGGUGACCUGCCUUCGAGUGGGGGAUAACGUCCCGAAAGGGACGCUAAUACCGCAUGACAUCCUGCUUUUGGAAAAGCGGAGAUCAAAGCUGGGGAUUCGCAAGAACCUGGCGCUUGAAGAGGGGCCCGCGCCUGAUUAGCUAGNGGUGGGGUAAUGGCCUACCAAGGCAACGAUCAGUAUCCGGCCUGAGAGGGCGGACGGACACACUGGGACUGAGACACGGCCCAGACUCCUACGGGAGGCAGCAGUGGGGAAUUGUUCGCAAUGGGCGCAAGCCUGACGACGCAACGCCGCGUGGAGGACGAAGAUCUUCGGGUCGUAAACUCCUGUCGAGUGGGAAGAAUGGUUCGGGAUGAAUAUGCCCCGGAAUUGACGGUACCACUAAAGGAAGCCCCGGCUAACUCCGUGCCAGCCGCCGCAGU
rnacentral:rRNA from 1 species